AGUGAACGCUGGCGGUAGGCCUAACACAUGCAAGUCGAACGGCAGCACAGUAAGAGCUUGCUCUUACGGGUGGCGAGUGGCGGACGGGUGAGGAAUACAUCGGAAUCUACUUUUUCGUGGGGGAUAACGUAGGGAAACUUACGCUAAUACCGCAUACGACCUACGGGUGAAAGCAGGGGAUCUUCGGACCUUGCGCGAUUGAAUGAGCCGAUGUCGGAUUAGCUAGUUGGCGGGGUAAAGGCCCACCAAGGCGACGAUCCGUAGCUGGUCUGAGAGGAUGAUCGGCCACACUGGAACAGAGACCGGGACCAGGUUCCUAGAGAACGAAGCGGUGGUGAAUAUUGGACGAUGGACGCAAGCCUGUUACAGCCAUACCGCGUGGAUGAAGAAGGCCUUCGAGUUCUAAAGAACGUAUGUUGGGAAAGAAGAGUGGUAGGGUAAGCCCGCGCCGUUCUGACGGUACCCAAAUAAUAGCCACCGGCUAACUUCUUG
rnacentral:rRNA from 1 species